rnacentral:tRNA from 2 species
AGCUGCUGUGGCUCAGUCGGUAGAGCGUCGCCUUGGUAAGGCGGAGGUCACGGGUUCGAUUCCCGUCAGCAGCUU